UCGGUAAAAAAACUCAUAUUAUACAACCGCAAAACAUAAAAGCAAUGAAAUAGAAAAUAACCUCAUCUUUCAUUUGACAACAUUAAGUGAUAUUUACAGUAUGGACAAUAAAGUAAGUGAUGAUACAAUUUCUAGUCAGCUGAACAAUAGUAACCUUAUGCAGGAUGCGACAUCUUCAAAACUAGUCUAAUGGACAAAGUCAUAUUCUAAUCAAACUUUAGAAACCAGCUAUUUUAUAGCUAGUAAAAAACAAGUAAACACAAUCCGCUGAAAUCAUGUAACCUCUUCUUCAAAAUCUACUUACAAAUUUCUUAUCAGCCUUGAACUGCCAGUAUCUGCAAUUGGUCUAGAAAAACUUGCAAGCUCAAGUCAUCCGUAAAGAUGAUAUCCGAACCAUCUGUGUAUGUUGAAUUUUGCGUAACAGAUGGAUUCAACUUGGCAAGAAGAAACCUAGCCUGACUACUAUGCUGGUCACAUCUUAUAACCUUUGGCACUGGAACCCGUUCAGCCACCAACUGUUCUGCAUCCAGUUCUGGAGCUUCCAACAGCUUUCUAAAAUUUUCAUGGUUUGGGUCCUUAUCAUAACCAAGCUUCUUCCACUGAGCAAUCUUGGACCCAUAAUGGAUCACCACAAGGAAGAAUGAAUCAAAGAGCAAGAUAGAAUCGGGGCAAAUGGAACGAAUAUCUAGAAGUACAGGAAUGGGUGGCCCAUCAAACGAAUAUUGAAAAAGUGUAGGUUGAAUCAUUAUAAGGGAUCCAACUACUCCCUCGCGGUUCAGCAUAAGCCGGAAAUACGCAGUUUCAUCAGGAGUAGUGUUAGAGACAUCAAUAAAUUGGGAUCUCCUUAAGUGGAACAUAAAUUGGGGAUAAAGGGAAAAGUUUGAAGAUAAACGGAAGGAAGAAGGAUCUUCUGGCACAUAGUCCCCAAACUUAGAGGUAAAACGGAUAAGUGUGUCAUCAAGCCAUCUAACAACAUCACGGGCAUGACACGUCUCUGCUCGGAGAAUGGCAAGUCUUGCCAUAACCGAAGCUGCUGCUUCUUGAUCAAACCCAGCAGCAAUAUCUGUGGAAUGGUUUGCAACCCAUCGUCGUGCAGCAGUGGUGACUCUUUUUCUGAGACCCAUGUUCCCUUGCCUGUACCGUGUUAUAAACUGAACCAUAAAUGCAGAGCUGGGCUGAAUGGUCUGUUUAUCACUAACUUGGAAGAAAAAAGCAAUGCAAGUUCGGUCAGUGAGUGUAUUCAACUUCCACACGCAGGUACCACCUUGUCCAACCUCAGUCUCACUCACUGAAGCGUUCUUUUUUCUAAGAGACAUGCAAGGUCCAAGAGCUCCAGAAAUUUUGACAUCAUUAGUAGUCACUAUUUCAAUGGUUGCAUCAAAAUUCAUCUUCAAAAAUCCCUCAUCAUCAUCAUGUUUAAACAAGUGCCUUAGACAUUUCCUAAAUUGAUCUGAUUCAAAGGAUUCGGCAAGAACCACAAAUCCACCCGAACGCUCAAUGGGUUCUCGAAGCUCGGCAACUCCAACUUGGUCAAGGGAGCAAGCAAACAGAUCAAGAACAACAGACGCAUCAAACAGCCUCUUCGCAAUCUGCCUAUAGAAACUGCAAGAUUUAGAAUGAUGUCUCGCCUGCCCGUUGAAAAUGUCAUUGUGGGUUCUCAUGGAUUGCCGGAAAUCAGAGUCCACAACCAGUCCAGGUCCAAGAGUCGCAGGCCCAGAAGUGAAGACCAUGAUUCUAGAGCCGGUAUUUACAAAACAACACUCUAAAAGUCCAAGGGCAGCUGAAAUUGCAGCUCCAGUGGACCUCGGGGGACGGUUUCCGGACCUGAAGUUAUACGAAGAAUGAAUAUCUUCAAUUGCAGCAGUGAUACUAAACUCACAUUCUGAAAUUGGAACCAGAAAUCCCUGCUUUGGAACAGGCUGUGUUUGUCCAGUAUGCAGCUGGUGUGGACGGCUAAUGUUCAGGAACUGCCUACCUGAUCGGAAGAAAAUUGGUGUUCACCGUGCAAAAGAACGAUCCUGGAACAGUGAGAAAACUGAAUAUCAUGAAGAUAAACCAUUGAAUCAAAAGUAAUCAAAGCAACAAGAGCAGUAUCAGGCAAAUGAUGAAGAAGAAGCAAAAUCUCAUUCUUAAGUGAACAAAGCUCAUCUUGAGAAGUGGAAACAUCGAUAACAAAAAUAAAAGCUGGAGGAUGAAAAAGUGAAGAAGAAGAAGAAGAAGAAGAAGAAGAGUAUUCAACAGUGGUGUAAGUAGGAAAGAGUUCAGCGGGAAGAUUAGCGUCGGCGAUGGAGCGAGGAAAAGGGUUUCGUUGAGAACAAAAGGGACAGUGCCAGAUACGUGAUUGAUAAUCGAGACGAGCGUAAGGGUUUAAAACGGCGCCGCAUCGAGUGCAGAGGAGAGGAUCGUAAGGGAGAAGAGGUAGGUCAGUGCCGUGUUGGGAGAGUGGUGUGCACAUGAUGGUUAGAGGGAUUGUUAGGUCUGAUUUGGUUGUUGAUGGCCAUGAAUUCCAUGACCAACGGAGGCCUUCUACUGCCUCCAAUUCAACGAAAUCCAUUGUGAGGAUGAAUUGAUUGAAAAUCUAGAUCCGUUUCUUGAAACCGGAGAGGAAGAGGUGAUGGACGAGAUGGUGGUUCAACGGCGGCGGUGUGAGUAAAGGAGGAAACGGAAGAGUGCUGUUGUUCGGCAGUGGCUUAUGGUGGUGCGUACGUUGGACGGCAGACUUCGACGGCGGCAGUGCUUUAAACCCUUUCCUUCUCAGUUGGGUGAGGUGGUG
rnacentral:lncRNA from 1 species